rnacentral:lncRNA from 1 species
UUUUUUUUUUUUUUUUUUUACGUUUUCUUUUUCAUUUUUCGUUACGGCCAUUUUAGAAAAAUUCUUACUCUAUAUAGAACAAUUUUAACCUAAAAAGAAAAUCAUGGAGCAAUUUUUGUGAUAUUUGUACUUUUUGUUAAAAUUCUCCAACACCACCUAUAUAUCUUUUAGUACAUGUUACGAGGAAAUGUGUGCUAUAGGAUAUAUAUAAUCCCCUUAAAACCCUUGUCUCUGUCAUACGGAUUGUCAAACAAAAAUCUAUGGUAGUAAGAAAGAGAAUUCCAUUAUUUAUAGGAUAGGAGAGGGAGGGAUUGGAAAGAAAAAAGAGUAAGAAAAAUUAACCUCCAUUUAAAGAAUUUAACCAACCAAUCUGAUUAAUAUCUAACUCCACACAGCUCCGCGAUCAUUAAUUAGUGGCACUACAGUUAUGAUCAAUUAGGAUAACCGCAUGCAACAUCAGUACUCAAUGACACAUACCAUGAAUCCUUUCCCAUUAGUUUAUAUGUUCUUUCAUUUUUCCUUCAUGUCCCUUCCUUAAUUCCAAAUUUUGAAAUGCUUUUUUCGUUGUUAAUUGGAGUACCAACCACUUCUAAGCAUGAUUGAGUGCACGGAUGAGAAACUUUUGAGCCCACAAGUCAUAAUCAUCAUCAUUAUGAAAAUGCUACUAGUUGUUUUCAAAAGUAGUUUUGUAUUAGACCCUUUUGUUCCACCCACCAUACAUUCAAAAUUUCACUAAAAUUAUGAGGGACAGCACUGUUUCUUUGAUAGGCAAUCAGAGGCCUACAAACUUCAUAAUCAUGGAAAGGUUAUGGCUCUUAAUAGUUGAAAGGGGGAAGGCUAAAGUAGAUUCCUCAUAAAGUUGGGCUUGACAUCCCUACAAAUCAAGAUUACACAAUUUAAAUGACAUGACAUUUGAAUGCAUGGUGUGCUUUGUGUGUGUGUGUGUGUGUGUGUGUGUGUGUGUGUUUUCAACUAAUUGUCAUUACAUGAAAGAAAAGUAGCAAUCCCAACUUGGGAUGGUGACCAAAUUGUUCAAGAACUAAUAAUAAUAGCAAUCCAAUUGUCAUUUGAAUUGUAUUAUCCAGUUUGAUUCUAUGUAGCCUUUGUUUCCAUGUGUAUAUUCUCUUCUCAAUUAUUUAAAGGGCGGGCUUCAAACAACUAGUAAAACCAAACGUUAAUGCCCGCCAUCACAACUGAUAGGAAUCAUCUGAUAUGGACAGUUAGUGAUGGUCUGAAAAAGAUAGGUCUGCGAAUUGGUAAUCUUAAUGGCUAAUACUUCUUUUAAAGAUGUUCGAAUGCGCUCAUCUAUCUAUGUUUUGUAUCACAUAGUUGUGGUGUGUCAUGCAUUAGACACUACUACAUUAUGCUAAAAUUAUCAACUCCAACGAUGUGGUACGAGUACUUCACACACGUACUUACAAAUCUUUUAGUUUACUCGUAUACUUUCUUCGUCCCACUUUGAUAGUUUUGAUUUUUUUUUAACAGUUUAAGAAAAACUAGUUAACUUGGUGAAAAAAUAAAUCAUCUCAUGAUCCAGCUAAAAUAUUAUAGUUGUAGCACAAAAGUAGGGAAGGGAAAAUAAUUAACUGAAGAAUAAAAUGAAAACCAGAAAAAGGGGUGUAGACAGCCAAGCCAACCACCCUGAUUUUUAUUUAUAACAUAAACCAUGGAUAAUAUCAUGAGGCUAAAAAAGAACAAAAACUUCCUUUUGCCAAAAAUACUAAACCGUAAAAGAACUCUAAGGUGCCAGUUUGGGAGAAGGAGCUUAUAAAACGAAUCCAACAUCUUCAACAAUUUGAACCUUCAACAAAGAGGGUCCAGAACCCCACUCCAUUUAUAAAUGCAACUACUACUACUACUACUCUGUACGUGCAUAUAUAUAUAUAUAUAUAUAUAUAUGCAAAUGGUUGGUUGUAAACUUGUAAUGAAGGAGAAGGAGAUUGAUACCCACUGCCAAUCAGUUCUCCACCACUAAAUUUACAGUAGAUUAAAGAUUCAGAUCAAAUGGAAAAAAGGGCCAAAGAUUAGACACAGAACUUUGGCAGCAAGUCCCAUGCAGGAGUGUAUAUGUAUGUUGCUCCUUUGGCACCAGUGUCCACCACCAGCACUAGGACGAGAAGACAAAAUAUUUGUAAACCCCAAAACAGAGAGAAAACCAGAAACGAAAAGAUAAAAAGGAAAAGGAAAAGGAAAAGAAAGAGGGGAAAGUGAAAAGAAAUCCCAGGAAAACAAGUUUCCUGGCCCCCGCAAAACCUCACUUGAACUACAAGGACACAAAACAUAAAGUGUAAUACAAGAGUAUUUCAAUCUUCUUUGACCCUAAGCAAAUAAGCAUUUUGGAGUUUGUCCAAUUGCCAUCAAAUGCCUGUCCUUGGGCAGGCAAAAGAAUCCCACCAAGAUCAUCCACUACUUAUUACUAGUAGUAGUUGAUACUCGAGAGUUCUCAAAUCCUUUUGACCCCCCACCUUGCCUUUCUGUCUUCUCUUUCAAAAGUGAAACCUGCUUUCACUGCCUUCCUUCUUCCGUUCCUUUCCCGACUUCACACACGUUUACAUACUGCAAUUACAAUUACACAACACUUUGUUAAACAGUACUGCUAAUGAAACUUGCAGAAUUGCCAAAUUUAAGGUGAAAACUCUUCCAUCCUUUAGAUACAAAUUCAAAAUGAUGUCGAACGGCAGCAUGAUGGUCUGUCUACUUUCUCUUCUUUUUUUAUAGGAGACCAUCCUUUUUGACCCCUCUAUAUUCUUUAGUAGUAAGUAGCAUUUAAAAUCAAAGUACGUUGGCCACUCAUAGCAACUCUCCAUUUGGGUCCUAAGCUUUUAGCCGCUGAGGGGUGCCAAUCAUUCAAAAUCAGGCGUCUAGCAGUGAUCCUAAAUUGUGGGUUUUUAAAAGAAGCAAAUCUUUCGUUUUGCCAUUUUAUGCCCAUUCUGACCAAUUUUGUCAAAAAUUGUAAUAUUCUUUUAUUGAUUCUGAAUCACCUUUAUCUAGCCUACACUCAGUUUGAGAAAGUGCUAAAGUAAAGUAAAAUAUUUUUCUCCUCCAAAACUACCAAUUAUGGAUUGGGAAACGUUAUCACAUUCAAGGGCUAAAUCAAAUUAUGCAGAAAGGAGCGGCACAAUAAAGUUAGAUCCUAGCAUUUCUUCUCAUGCUGUCCCAAAAAGUAACACUGUUUAAUUCGCCAAGUUAAAUUUAGGUAAAAGGUCAGGUUGGGGGGGAGGGGGAACCCUUAGCAAAACAGUCUUUAUGGUCCCAUCCUUCCCUAAUCAUUUGGUAUUGAUCGCUGAUAUGGCUGCUGAUGGUGCCAUUUCUUAGACGAACCAAGUUAAUGGAGGGCAGCCCCAUCAGUCUGUACACCAAAAAUGAAAACAAAAUAACGGUUUUCAUGUCAAGAAUAUUCCUGAUGACAAGAGUUGAUACUCUCUAGUAUUUGUGUACUUAGGUCUGAGCAUUAGCCUUGGAACGGAUCUUGUCCGGCAUCAAGAAAUUGUGCACUGAUGUGAAGAGAGCGAGAGAGAGCUGUAGUUGAUUAGAAACAAAAUAUCAACAAAGUUGAAUAUAUAGGAAAAUACGGCAGACCAGAUUUUGAAUAGAUUUGGCUUCAAGCCCCCUGUCAAUUUAAUGUUGAUCUCAUUUUCUUGUCUUACUAAAUGUGAAAAGUACUUAGAAGAUAAAAGGGCACAGUAUGUUGAAAUGCCAACAUCAGGCUCACGAAAAAGCCAAAUGCAACAAUAGACUAUACAAAAAAGAAGAACUUAUCAACCACCACUGAACGCUGACUAUGCCCCUCUUGGUAUAAAAUAUCAUUACACGAAUUUUCCAAAAAAUAAUAAAAUAAAUAAUAAAUGUGCUUGACUAGCCAAUAAAAUCGCCAGCAAGGUUAGGAAAUGAUACUAAAAGGAAAAAUGAAGAAUUUGGGUUUACCGAGAGGAGAGGAAUAGCCGUAUUUUAACGAUAGGGAUUGAAUUCGUUGAAUGUGGGGAGUAGAUUCAGGAGGGCAACAAAUCAUCAAAAAUUGUUGGACAUGGAAUCUGGUGUAAAAGGCGAGGAGACGAAGAAGAGUCCCUACAUCAGUCAUUCAUUCCGUAUCACGGACGUGUCCCUAAUAAAGGCUUAACCCAUAUCCCCUGCCCCUGGUACGAUUCUUGUUCUCUCCUUAGUCUCAGGGACCCCCCCCCCCCCCACAGCACAGACCCCAGCACCCACACCUACCAGGUUCAGGUUCAGGUUCGACGACUAUUCCUAGUUCUUACUCAGGUAAAUUCAUAAUAACAGGUAUGCCCUCAUUCUCCUCUUCUUUAAAACUGUCGGUAGGCCGACACAGCUCACAGUCGCCCAGCUGUGCGCUCUGGUGAACGACCUCCCUUCCCCAAAGAUCAUUCCGCUAAUUUUCAUCCCCAAGAUUUGCUGCCAAAAAUCAGAAAAAGACGGGGUGGGGGUGGGGGUGGGGGUGGCAAUCAACAUUGAACAACCACCGGUUGUUAUAACCUUUGAUUUUCGGAAUCAGAAAGACAAUGACGCGACCGAGCCCACGGGGAGCACAGAAACAGCCGAAACGACUAUCCUCUCGUGACCCCUCUAAAUAAUUAUACUACUUAACUUUGCUGAUUCGAGCAAAGAAAGGGUAAAAAGACAUUUUGGGUUCCCUUUUUUUUUUUUUCCUUAGCAUCAUGUUCCAAUUAUGAGCACAAUGGGUCCUGUCCUAUUCUAGAAAUGAUUAGGCAUAUUCAGUCAAGUCAAUCACAGCGAUAAAGAUAAUGUGUAGUAAUUUGACAAGUAUUCUUCUACUAGUGGGUAGCAGUAGUAUAAGCUGCUGAAGGGCAAUGUGUAGUAAUGAAAGAGAGUUCUCACCAGUUAAGUAGUACUUUUUAUCUACUGUUUGGGGCCAUCCUGGUCUGCUAAUGUAGCUUGUUUGAAAGCAACAGUGGGAGCUAUUCUGCAGCUCCUCCUCUGAUGCUCUAGCACAAGUUCACUGGCGAACCAGUCCAGUUUCUCCAAAUUGCUCUGCUCUCCAAUCCUCUUGCCAUUGAAGAGCACCGACUCUACAUUCUUUUGCUUCAGCAUUUCAUCUGCUACUUUCACCAGCAAUUUUACGUUGUCGGGACUCGGGUCGGAGUCUGUAUUCGCCCCACAUCGCCCAAAGCUGGAUCCGGUUGCCUGUGCCAUUCAAAAAAUUUGACAAUUUAUUAAGAAUGCAUUGACACGCACUAGCACGACUGAUAAUCAAAAAAACAGAGAGAUAGUAAACAGGAUGGUUUUCUUCAUCCCUUGACCAAGAAUUGUUUUUUUUUUCCCCCGCAAUCAUGGACGACCAAUCUUUGAAAAUAUCCUUGAUGAACAAAAAACUCAUAACAUGGUACCAAGAAAUAGUACUAGUAGUAGUUAUUGUUUCAUCUUAAUCCAUCCCAAUCCCAGCUCACGGAGCAAACGGAUGGAGUUUGUAUAGUCCUUGCUGAGGUGGUCUAGAAAUUACUAGUAGUAUAAAAUGAGGUAAGAGGCUUCCUAGUAAAGAAUCAAAGAAGAGGGCAAGAGGGACUCAGGGCCUGAGCCCUGUAUGGUGGAGCGAGUCAUAUGACUAUUCUGCGUACCGUCAGAGGUAGGACCAGAUAUGUCUAAACAGAGCAAUCAACCCUACUAGUGAAAAUUUGUACUGGUAUAAAAUUUUUAAUCUUCCAGAUGAAUUAGGUGAAUGAAACAUAGUAAGCAGGGUAAAAUCCUCCUAGACCACACAGCCUGGGACCAUUUCCAGCACCGGCCAUGGUAAUUGCAGACGGGUACAUGUAGCCCAAUUAUGGAAAGUUACAAACGAGUGAAACAAACCAGUCUUCUUCAUAUUUUUACACAAAGUCAAAUUCUCUACAAUUAGUAUAGGCUUUACCAACUUUCGGUUUGGUUAGCAAUCAAAAUUUUCAUCCACUACCAGUCUACCACCUCCACCAGUCAGUCAGUCAGUCGGGCUUCUUGCUGCAGGUGAAAAAGUUGUAGACUACAUGAAUCAUGAUGUCUUUGAAUAGAACAUUAGCAACAACAUGCUUUACCCACUACCCUGAAACUGAAAUCAACCUUUCCAGGAUUCAUUUCCAGCUUUAACUGCUUUUUGAGCUCAAUCAAAUAGGAGGACCGAGUCAAAAGCCCAAAAACACGGAUGGAUUAAACAGACAAGUACGACGAUGGAAACUCUUUUUUAAGGAGGCCUGGGAAUUUGACCAUUUGAGGAGAGCAAGUAAAGUAACUACACAUCAAAACACUAUCCGGCUAGACAAUGGGUCAACGAAUGAAACAUGCUACUGAAACUUAAUGCACCCAAAAACAAACCGGCAUCUAGUUAUGCUUCCAGGGAGAGCCUAUAAAAAAAAAAAAAACAAGAACUGUCUUCCGAAGCACCAAACCACAAUCAAGCAGCAGCCAACAUAUUUUGCAAAAUCCAAAGUAUCACUAAAUAACCACGAAAAAUGUCACAUAGAGUAUGUGGAAACAGGGAACAAGAAAAACCCAAAAAAAAAAAAAAGAAACUGAGUCCCAUACUACACUACUGUCUCACUCUCCCCAACCAAUGUUUGAACGUCAUCAUAUCAUAUUCAAUAUUCAAUAUUCAUUGUCCCACUACCCAAAGCUGCCACGUUUUGUUGCCAACACAUUUUUUUGCCAGCCCAGCUUACAACAAAUUACUCCCAGUUGAGUCACUCGCAGUCACUGCCCGGCCCCCCUUUCCCUCCACUGACCUCUCCCCAGAAAAAUUUAAUUGCAUCCCCAACCCCAACCCCAACGCCAACCCCACUUUCUUUCUCCUUAAAAAAAAAAAAAAAAAAAAGAAAAACCCAAAAAGAAAAAAAAAAAAAAAGAAUAUGUAGAAUACAAUUCUUUUUUUAAAAAAAAAAAAGAAAGAAAGAAAAACAGAAUUUGAAUAGUAACUGAAGGCGGGGGCCCGUACGACUUUAAACGGAAAAGACCCGGAACAUAAAUUUGACCCAUGCAUAUAAAAUUCAAAAGAUGAUGCAACAAACAAAACAACCCCCGGUGCACGGUAGAAAGAGGCGCUACUUGGAGGAUUACCUGGAUACGGACGUAAUUACUGCUGCGACUCUGGCCGAAAGCCAUGGCGACGGCGUGGUCGACUAAGUCAGCCGAGCCGUCUCCGGAUAUGCGAGCCAGAGGACGAGCCCAGUCCUUGGCCUUCCAGCUCUUCACUUGCUCGUACCCGAAGCUGCCUUCCAGGAGCUGGCCGGUACCUAGUGAAAGUACCAAAAUGUCCUCCACCCCCCGCACGAACGGGAACUCUUGUUUGUUGUGAAGCACGUGGGUUAUAGCCGCCGCCGUUGGAUUGGUCAUGGCCAAUCCCCCGUCCACCCCCACGCAACGACUCUGUCCGUCUACGGACUUCAGGCAUACCGGUUCGAACGCCGCCGGUUCCGCCGACGUCGCUCGGCAGACCUCCCAGAGCCGGAAGUCGAAGCUGUCUGUCUCCAGCGCGUCGGCUCGUGAGAACACGAACGGCGCCGUGCUGGACAAAUCGUAGCAGGGAAUCAGUACGGGUUUUAACGUAUCCUUCAACGUUAAGCUCCGCCCCGUUUUGUCCGCAAACGCCUCUAUCAUCGACUUCUCCAAGGCCGCUGAUGAAGCGGCCGUGGCGCUGCCGCCUCCUCCGCCUCGGAAAGCACGCCUGAGAAAGCUGCCGCCUCCGCUGGAGCUCGAACUCGAGGAGCGGUAGAAUUUCUUACCCUGCUCGGCCAAGAAUUUCCACGUAUCAUCCGCGUGGAAAAUCGGGCGUCCUCGCUCCUUGGUGGCAAAGAGCAUGGCGGUAAAGAUACCUCCGACGCCGGAGCCCGUGGCGACGUCGAAAUAAUCAGCGAUUCUAGCGUCAGGAUUGCCCGAUUUUAGCUUCAACGCAUUUUCCAAAUAAGCCAAGGCUUUUCCAGCUACGAUGCCCCGCAUUCCACCACCGUCGAUGCUGAGGAUGCAUAUCUUCCCCCUCUGAUUCUUUAUCGCCUGAACGCCGUUUCCGUCGACCAUUUCUCCUCGGGGCGACGUCGAAACGACCUCGUUUUUAUUAUUCUCUUCAACGACGGUGGCGGCGGCGGCGGGAGAAAUCUGUUUAGGAAUCCAAAGCUUCUGAUCAUCGUAGCCAAACAAAAACUUGCUCUCCAGGAUGGAAAAGAUUUCAUAGCUGAGCUUAUCGGUAUCGAUGCUGGGCUCUUGCGUUUCAGACCGAAGAUUAAAAGCCAUUUCCUCUUCCCAGGAGCUAAACAAAAAAAAAGAAAUUUUAAUUUAACAAUCAACCCCACAGCAGAAGAAGAAGUCCCUCGAUAUUUUUCUCAACCUCUCAAAUUUAUUACAUUCUAAGCUUAGAAUUACAACGAUAAAAUAAAACCCAUCCUCCCAAUGAAAAGCCUUAUAUAGAGAUAUAGAACAUGUGUGUAUGCAUAUAUGGCAUGCCUGUAGCACCCACCUUACUUGCAAUAGCGAAAGGUGAAUGGAUAUGUAUAGGAUUGGUGUGAUCUUUUUGAGAUUUUAAGGAAUGAAGGAAGAUGAAAAAGAAAUUUACUAGAAAAGUAAUUGUUAGCUUUACGAAUCCUUUUACUUCCCCUCUACAAUACACUUUAUAUUUCGAUCACAUAUGAUAUUCCAUUAAAUACAAAGAGAAUAGAGGGAAGAUUUCAAGGUAGAAGGUAAAGGAGAGGGAAGAGGAGAAUGCAGACGAAUCAACGAACGAAGAGACGCGAGGAGGAGGAGGAGGAGGAGGAAAAGCCGGUAGGAAACCAUGAACCAACGCGACUGCUCAGCAUGUCUGUGUUGUUGGCCUUAAAUACCAGCCUCACCUCGCAAUUACUAUAAGAAAUCCAUUUGUUUUUUUCCCUUUAAAUGAAGCAAAAAAAAAAAAAGAAUUUUUUUGUUACCCAAAAUUUAGACCUUAGUGAUGUCUACCCAUGGCCAUUAUACUUGGACAUUGACCUUAGGGGUCCUGUCAUUAGGCACUUGGGCGUAUCCCAUUAUGUUUUCUGCGCUUGGAUCAUGCUUUUGAGUUUUGAUGCUCCAUUUGGAAAAUAUGUGAUUUUUUAACUGUUGCUAAAACAAUUCUCUGCUGGUAAUUCUACAUUAUUCCCAGAUUUUUGGCAUGCACCGUUCCUAUAUUAUGUUAUAAAAGGGUUCUUUUUUAUUGUGUGACGUUAAGGCACAUACUAAGAAAUUAUCUCACUAUUUAGUUAUUGAUUAAAUCUUAUAUGCACUGGCUGUGUAUGCACUAUCAUAAUUAGAUAUACGACACAUAUGUAAAAUUUGAGUUUUAAAUUUAUAUUCGAAUCAUGUGUCAUGUAUCUAAUGAUGAAAGCGUGUAUACUGUCAGUGUAUGUAUAGAAGAUUACUUCAUAGUUAUUUACUAGAAUCUUCUCAAUUUAGAAGGUAAAUAAUAAUAUUUAAAAUUUAUAGUGACCCGCCCCUAUGAUUUUACGUGCUCUAAACUAAUGGCAUAAAAAAAAAACAGCCUUUAACAUAAAUAUUUACCCACUCUUCUAAGAUAUAAAACUUGCAAGCUAUCAAUUCAAAUUCUUCUACAUUUCUAUGACUCUCACAAUCAAAGGAGAUAUCUGAUAUUUCAUAUCUUUUCUUUUUUAAGAUACAAAUGAAUUAGUAAAACUUUUUUUGGUUACAAAUGAGGAUACAUAAAUGAACCAGUAACCUUUUUUUUUGGUACAAAUGAGGAGUUAGUGUACUCUAUACUAAGGAAAACGGGUGGAUCUCGAUGUCACUGAUUAUCCGGGUUUCUGUGAAUCUAUUGGUUAAAUUUUUAAGAAAGUCUUGGUAAAAAUGCAAGUACAGAGACAUCCAAGAAAAGCGACGGAGGAAUUUGAUCUCGCAACCUAUAUUUAAGGAAAGUUUCGAUAAGAAUGCCAGCAAGGUGAGCUUUAAGCAUAUCUCUGGUGGCCAAAUCGUAUUGACAUACAAUGUUCAAAUUCCAAUUGUUCAUGCCUAGAGUUAACAUUUGGACUUCAGAGGUUCAGCAACGGAUCUUCUGUCCCAUAUUCUGUGCCAUUAUCUGUCCCACUUUUUAUUAUAUUACUAUUUCUCAUUCAUAAAUAUCAUGUUUUAGUUCUUUUUUAUUUCCUUAAGAUCCAAUACCUAUUAAUUUAGUAAUACACAAAAUUUAACAAACUCAAAAAAUCAAAAUGCAUAAAAAAUGAGAUUUUUUAUGAAAUUUCUGCUGCAUUUUUUAAUUUUCUAUUAUAUAUAUUUUUUUUCAAGCUGUUGUAUUUAUUUUUUUUACUGAUUUUGUAGUUAUUGGAUCUUAAGGAAACAAAAAAUAAUUAAAACAUGAUGUUUAUGAAGGAGAAAUAGUAAUAUAAUAAAAAAUGUAACAGAGAAUGACACAGGAUGUGAGACAGAAGAUCCGUUGCGCAAAUAAUGGCUCAAAUUAUUUUCUUCCCAAAAUGAAACAAUAAUCAUAAUUUCAAAUAUUUUUUGUAAUAAUCUAAAUAUUGAGAUAGACUGGAUAUAUGUCAUUAGAGUUCAAGUUCUAUGUCAUCAAUUUUUAUUUUCCCUUCUUUCCUUUCCCUCUACAUUCAUCAAGUUCUACUCUACACUCAUGUUUUUUGAGGAUAUUCAUGAUGUAUAGGCACAUCAAUUAGGAAAAAAAAACCAAAAGAAAGUGCUAUAUUCUCUUCCAUUUUAUUUAGCAUGGUUGAGGGGUGAAUUUUACGUGGACUAAUAGUACUCCCUCCGUCCCGUUUUGUUAGUCUUGUUUUCCUUUUUCAUCUGUCACAAAUUGUAGUCCACUUUCCCAUUAAGAAAUGUAAUAAUCUUUCAAAUUGUCUAAAAUACCCUUAUUAAAUAUCUCGUUAUUAAUACAUUGUUAUUAAAUACUAACCCACUACAUUGAAUAUAUUGAGCUUUUCCAAUACAUAGAUAAAUGAAAAGUCUAUCUUUGUUAUUUAUUGGCACUAUUGGCGGUAAUUGAAACAAUCAUGGUGCACUAUUGGCGGUAACUGAUAUUUAUUGGCACCAUUAGUUGCAACUGAUAUUAAUUGGCACUCUUCGUGAUUAGCAUAAGGGUAUUUUAGGAAAUUAUUAAUCUAAAUUUAUGUUUCCAACCAAAUUAAUUACACUUUCUUAAUUUGUGUGAAAAAAAAACCAAGACUAAUAAAACGGGACGAAGGAGUAGUAUGUAUUUCACCGCCGCGAGGGCAAACGUAGGUCACCGACGGUGGACUAAUCCAUCCCUUUGGGAAUCAAACGGCUUAAAUUGAUUGACAACAACUGCUUUUCUCCGUAAUCAACUGCUUAAUUCUGAUUUUUCUAAUUUUAUAAAUUUUUUAUGGAAUGCGCAGGUUAACGUGUGGGGUCAAGUCCGUCGGGGAGUAGGGUCCAGAGACGUAGUCGUCGGCAAUAAAAUGGAGACGCACGCUUAUUAUGCUGAUGUGGAAAUUAGUUUUCUUUUUUUUGGGGGGGGGGGGCAGAUAAUUGAGAGGAAGGCAAUUCGUGUAUACGUGACGGGACUGGAGCCUGGACAGGUCUUUGAUUACUUUGGGCUUGGAGAAGGGGGCCCACCUGCUAAGAGGAUUGAUAGUGCUGACGAGUCCAACGUGGGUCAGACAUCUGUUGGAAACGGAGAACGGGCUGCGGAUUUAGGUGUGUGGACUGGGUUGGGCGGUUUUUGUCUGCCGUCUCCGGGUAUGGUCCAAGUCACAAGAUUCCCAACGGUUAAUUCGGUGGAAACAGUCAAAAAUAAAUAAAUAAAUAAAAAUCUCAGAGGUGUUUGGUUAGUACUCAGAAUCUUUGAUCAUUCAUUCUAACGCACUUGGCUUGGGAGUAAAUUUCAUCCAGAGUUUUUAUAACAGGUUCCAAAUAGGCGCUCGUUAAUAGACCACAUUCAAUUUAUUACUAAAUGCACACAUCAACAAUUGAUACUUCCUAUUGCAUGUGUACGCUUUUCCCAAUUAACUUUAUUUUUUCCAAAAAUUAACACUUGAAUUGAAUCUUAACGAGCCUUUGAUAAGCACUCGUUACACAGACCCUUCAUUCAAUUUAAAAUCAUAUUAAAAAUAUGAAAUGAUAAGGACAAAAUUUAGCAUUCUUAUUUCCAUUAUGUAAUUUUGAUACUUAUUUACCAAACAAUAGGUACGUGUGACAUUUAUUUCGAUACUCAAUCUUACGUCUCAUGCGUGCUUACCAAACAACCCUCGACGUGGACAAUCACUGGAUAGAAUGUUAGACUAAAUUAGAGCAGUAAAUGCUGCAGUUUGGAUACACAAUUGUUUCAAAUAUUAUUUGCUUAUAUCAUAAACACGUCUUCCAAUUCACAUUUUUAUAUUCUUAAUUAUUUUUUUAUCUUAUACAUAUCACAUUACUAAAAGAUCUAUAAUAAUUAUUUCAAAGAAUAUUUCAAGUAAUAUCCCAUCCAAACACAGCGUUUAGUUUUCAUUCCAAUUGGCAACUCACGGGACGAUGUAUUCUUUUUCAUUUUCUUUCCUCCCUCUACAAACUGUAAGAGGCAUCUUCCUUUGUCAAUUUGUUUAAGUCUUGUGAUGAUGUGCUUGUAGGAGUCUAUCUUUCAUUGGCUGCAUUCCGUUCUUUUCAAGAAACAGGAAGGAAAAAGAUAUACAAUGACAAUAAUGAGAACCAAACAAUUGUUACGGGACGAGACAUGACAUAUAUCACUCACUACUUUGUACAAUUGCUUCUCUAGGUGGUGCCUUAUCAUAUUCUUGAAUAAGUUUGGCAUACGUCGUAAUGAUCACGAUGAGUAUUUUUCUUUGUUUAGUAGUAACCAUUACAAUUUCGUCAUAUUCCAAGCAUUCCAUCUUCUAACUAUCCAUCAUGCAUCUUUUCAAAAAAAAAAAAAAAAAAAAAAACUAUCCACUAAAGCAUGAAAUUGAAAAUGAUUGUCCAUACCUUUGUGAUUGACAAUACAUUUCCUGCCUAAAUGUAUAGUGUCGGUGCUUUUGGGUAGACUCUAUGCAAUGAACAAAGUGGAUGUAAAGAAAGAGUUAGGUAAAUCUUGUACACAUUAGUUUGAUGCCAUUUAGGUUUUAAUUGGAUAACAAGCACCUAAUCUUCGGUUUAUGUACUAAGAAACAGAUUAUGUUGGCUUAAAGUUUUUAUUUGGAAGCAAGUAGUGAUGCCUCUAGUUGCUUACUUGUCCAUGGUUCAAUUUAUCACAUAUUUGGCUGUCACAGAGGGCAAUGGACAAAGUAAAAAGCACUACUAUGAUUGUCCAAAAGAUAUCUAUACUAUAUAUAAAGAGGAAGGAGGGAAUCUGUGGGGAACGAUGAAUUGAGUGAUACAGGAAGAAAUGAUGUAAGCGAGAGAUCUUGGAUUUGAAAUCUUGUACUUGUACUAAAAAUAAAAAAAAAAUUUUAAAAAACUUUAUACUUAUAAAAGUCGCUUAUUAUUUUAUUACCUAAACACAAAUUGCUAAAAUAAUUACCACUAGCUAUUUUUAACUAGAAUUAAUCUAAAUGCAUCUUGACAAAAUGAUUCCCUCCAUGCAUUGUAACUACCGAAGCAACCAUCAUUUGAUGAGAAAAAAAUAUUAAAAUACUGUAAUUUGCUUUAAUAAUAAAAAUUUUAUGCAAAAUUAAUUCGUAAAAAAGUAUUUAUGAAUUACACAUACACUACGUGGUCCUUUAGCCGCAUAAAUAAAGGACUUGCAAGACGGACAAAUAAUCUUUCAUUAGCAAAUUCAACAUUAGAGGACAAUUUAUGGUGUAAAUUGUGUUUAUUUUUUAUACAAUGGCCGUGCUUGAAUUCAAAUAUUAUCUAAAUGAACUUGUAUGGCACAGUUGGACGGUUUUGCCCCCCAGUUUAACACUGAAUGAAACUCUGCCCCCCUCCCCCCCCCCCCCCCCAAAAAAAAUAUAAUACUACAUGAUCAAUUAAGGUACUUAAAGGAAAAUUUUUUUAAGGGACCCUAAAAUUUUAAUGUCACAGCAAAUUAGACAGUAGUUUCCAAAAUUAUGCUUUGUGUGAACCUUACUAUUCUUAGAGUAAAAUUGACUUGUCAUGGUCGUAAGGAGAAUCUUGAUAAUACUAAAAUUGUUAUUUUAUGAAAAUGAUUCUAGUAGCAUCACAAACAUUAUUGUAAUUUUAAAUUUACAAACGUGGUAGAAAAUCUUUUAAGAAUAAGAAAACAGAACAAUGAUAAAUUUAUAAAAUCAGUUUUGGAUUGAGAUGAUUUGAGAUAAAAUAAUUUGCUUCACAAAUUUCAAUCACUUUUUUAUCUCACAUACAUCACAUCACAAAAAAGUACUACAGUAAUUAUUUCAAAUAAAUCAUCCAAAUAAACUCCUAUCCAAACAAACUCAGUGACUAAAAUUAAUUAACUUUCAAAGUCACAACGUACGUAAAAUUCAUUUCUUGGGUGAAAAAUUGUGAUCGUAUUAAAAUUGUAGCUUUGGCAAAUUUCAACAACCAAAAUUAAGGUUCAUGGGCAGGAAGACACGAGAGUUGAACUUUCCUAGCUUGAAAAAAAAGGGAAAAAAAACCAGAGUUCAACUAGGGCUAUUGGCUAGUGGUUAUUGGGCUAGACCUAGUUGUCCUUUUCGUCACUUGUAGGUACAACUUCAAUAAAUUGACUGGGUUGGACUAUGGAGCCUCAACAAUUGUAGACGCCAUAUAUAGCCCGCUGCACUUUUGGGCCUCCACGCUUCAGCUGUUUAAAUAAUUUUCAGCAGCAGCUGGCAAGAAGCAGCAGCAGCGCGCAGGUAUGCUUCUCCCUCCUUCCUGCAUCCUUCACUUUCUCCAACCCUUUAAUCGUUUUCUCUGGGUUCCAUUUUUUCUCAUACCCCUUUUAUCCAAUUUUAUCAGCGGUGGUGAUUUUCCUGUUGAUCAGUUCUAUAUCUUUUCGCUGUUGAUGACUGCCCUGCCCUUUAACCCCUUUCUUUUAAAUACUAUUCUUCUUCUUGAAGUUUUUUAGAUGGGCUGCACUAGAGGUAAAUGAUGCUAAAGAACUAGUCUUUUUCUUUUUGGUUUGUUUGCCCUAUGUCUAAUAAAAUAGUAAGACUUUAACCAGGCUAUGAUUUGGAGGCAUUGGAAAGAAAAAAAUGGUUUUUGCAAUUGGGGUGUAGGAUUAUGUGAGGAUUAAUCAGUUACUGAAGCAGACUAGCGAUUUAAGUGUGUUUUGAAGCUGAGGUGUCCAGUUUUGAAAUUCUUAUUAUGUUGAUAAAAUGCUUGAGCAAGUGACAGUGCUAAUUUAGAUAGAAAGUCUGCAUCUUAGAUGAUGCUGUAAAAAAAAGGUUUUUUCUGCGUAUACAUCCAUUAAGGAAAAUAACAUGCUCUAAUACAUUGUAUUUUGCAAUUUUAUAUCGUUAAAUCUAGUAAGGCAUUUUCCCUUUUGCCUCCUGCUUGUAUAGAUGAUGAAACUCUGCGAAUGAAAAUAAUAUACUCUUUCAUUGGAUGUGGUUUUAGUAGGACGGUUGUACUAGAGCAGAAUAGAGAGAGAGAGAGAGAGAGAGAGAGAGAGAUUGGUUGCUGUUUAUAUAUUAAUUGAGUGGCGAGUUUAUCAUUGUUUUAUUGAUUCUUGAGGCUUCUAAAGUUUCUAUUCCUACUGCUUUGUUAAUGUAUUGCAGUACUUAAUGGAGCACGGGUCGUACCAGGAUCAAUCAAAGGCGACUUUUUCAUUGACGGAUGAGGAUCAUACCCUUGCUAAUUCUCUUAGAUUUACUCUAAAUCAAGAGUUAGUGGUCUCCCCUUUCCCUGUCUACAAAUAGUUAUGGGACUUUGUAAUUUUCCAACACCAUUGCAUCCAAACAUUCAGAAUCAUGUACUUGCAUGUGAUUGUAGUCAGAAAUGAACUUUAUGAAUAGUUGAGAACAAGAACUUCUAGCUUUUAAACUUCCAAAACCACUUGUUUAGAAUCAAUCUUUUAUUCUUCUGGUAGAUUAUUGUAAAUAUUCAUUCUCUACCUAAGCAAAAUACUUCUCUGCUUUCUUUGUAGAUAACAAAUGAAUUUGUUCACCCUAGUAUUUCCUAGAAUUAUGUAUGCUGAAGGUGAAAUUCUUUUAAUUCGUUUCACUAAUUUUUUUCUCUCUUUAUGUGUCUUGGAGUUCCCCAUCGUACUUUGUAGUCAAGUCAUUGCUAUUACCGUAUAUAUGUUUUAACUAUUUUAAAGUUACAUCAUUGCGUCUGCUUUCAUGGAAUCACAUUCUUGUGACAUUUCACUUCCAUUAAACUAAUAAAAAUUAAAUGUAGUUUCUUAAGUAUUGUCCUUAUAAAUUUGUGCAGUCCCAGAGUAACAUUCUGUGGCUACAGUAUCCCACAUCCUUCUGAUGCCCGUGUGAAUAUUAGAGUCCAGACAACAGGUAAAACACUACAAUCCAUUGUUUGCCUUUGAGUUUAAGUGGCAUUUGUUGUGAUUGUACUUAUCAUCUCAUAUCUUAAGUUGUUGAUGUUUUCUAUCUAUCUGGAUAUACCAACUUUUUGCACUAGUGUCAGAUAGGCAAUUCCUCUAAUUGUUACUAUAAUUUUUGCUGUAAUAUUCUUACACUACCUGUAAUUGUUUCCGUGGUUUUCACUAUAAUAUUCUUCUUACUUUCCAUUUUAUGUCAUUUUUGUUUUAAAAGAUAAAGGUCUUAUUUUUAUUGAAUCAGAAAAAGAAUGUAAACUGCUAAUAAAAUACCAUGAAUCAUAUGACAUACAUAGAAUAGGGUAUGAGACCCACUCUGCCUGUAUACCAAACCAUUGUUGUUGUGACCCAUCAUGCCUGACGCCAAUCUUCCUUGUCCUUUUUGAAUCCAUCCCAUCCUGGAACUACCCACAGGCCAUCACUGAAAAUUUUCCUAGCAAUAAUGGCAUCUGGUAGGCAGCAAUUCUGAAAGAUCAACAAUCCUGUGCAAUCAAAGAUGAUAGACUGUGGCUGUAACCACCACUCCCUGACUUGUCAAUGUGGUUUUAUCAAUCAUUUUAUGUUAGUGCUUCAGUCACUGAAUUCACUCUGCAUAUUUGCAACUGGUGUUUUGUCUGAAAAAGAUCUUCUUGUUAAUAUAGAUGCCAUGUGAAAAGAGUACUUUUUUGGAAUAAAAGGCAAGAAAAGUCUCUCACACCAGGUUGUCAACUUAAAUUCAUGGAGCAUGAUUCAUAUAGCACAGGUGACCUUUGUUCAUGAGAUUUUUCUAGGAGGAAGAGAGUUGUCAUUUUGUAACAUACCUAAUUGCUGUUAGUUCUAAACUCCAUUUAUUUUCCAAUUCAAUGACGUUAAAUACCUUUAAAAACCUGCAAUCCCUUAGUUAUCAGAAAGAUGAUAAUGUUGGGUCCUGUUAUCCUUGACAGAUUGUGGAGGUUCUUAACGCUUAUAAAGAAAAUGAGAACUGUUCUAUCUAGUUUUGACACAUCUAGCGAUGUUUUCUUUUUGCAUGAGGACAAUCUCUCUGAAGUUUAAUUGUCCUUAACGAAACUCACUCAGCUUGUCUUCAAAUAUUUACUAAAUUGCAGGAGAUGCGGCUAGGGAAGUACUGAAGGAUUCAUGCCAAGAUCUGAUGCUAAUGUGUCAACACGUUCGAAGCACCUUUGACCAGGCUGUUCUGGAUUUUAAGAAUCAAAAGAAUUUAGAAGCAGUCAAUAUCAAAUGAUGAUAUGGUAGAGCUUCUCUUUCCGUACACUUACCGCUUAUUUUCAAGUGUCAUUUAAAUGUAAACAUCCACAGCUCUCAAACGUCAAUGAGUGUUAACAGUUUGACAGAAUUUGGAUUUGAAGCAUUGUAACUACUUUGUAUUGCAGAUAACUGGUGGUAUACAUCCAUUUGAUGAUGCAACUAGCCCUUUCACAAAACAUUCUUUGCACUCUUUUGGGCUGCCUUUUCAAGUCAAUUGUAGGCUGGAUGUCUGGGAUGUUGUGCAGGGCAGGAUGCAGAUACAAGUACUUGUCUGAUAUAGAUACUUUGUGUAGAGCCAAUAGAAUGGACAUGCGAGGAGCACCAGAUAAUUUGUAGUGGAACUUAAUUGUUUGAUGACAAUAUAAUCUUUUUCUAGCAUUUUACGUGAGAUUUUAUUAUUAUUUCUAAUUUCCCUCGCCUAAACACAUCUCAGCUUUCAACUCCUCCUUGUUUUUCUUUUAGUUGGUGCUCUUAUCAAACUCUGCAUGAGUGCUUUAAGUGGCGCUGACUUCACUUCUUUAACGACUUGAGCCGUUGGUAUGAAAUAUUAUACCUAGUUGCCCAGAAUCGGAUAAUCAGAACCAUAUUAAGAAAGAAAUUAAAACCCCAGGCAUGAAGGGGGUUGAUUUAAAAUGUAGGAGCUCGUAUUUAGGCCCUUUUAAUUUUAUAUUCAAGAAGGAAGCAAAAUACUAUAGAUGUAAAUGUGACCUAAGUCACAUUUGGAUAGGAUUUUCUCAACUUCCUUAAUUCCAAUGCGUUUCUUAUUCGUAUACCACAAGUCCAACUACCUCAACAAGAUGAAAACCUUUAUGCUGAUUGGAGAAAAGGCCACUUCUACUGGUGAAAGUCUAAAAGAAUGAGAAGCAGAACAAUUUAUUGGAACCUUUGUUAUGGAGAUGUUCAAGAAUACAACCAUUAAAUUCGAUGUUGGAAGCACAUUACCUAAAUGAGUAAUAAAGGACAAGAAUAAAUUUCUAGGAGAAAUUCAAAAUGUGGAAAACUUUUGAGUUUGCGGCUAAUUGAUUAGAAUAUAGGUGAAAAAAAAAAAAUUCAGACACUUGCGGGUCUGACAGGGGUUCUGUAUAUAUCUAUGGACAGCCCGGCACCUGACACCAAAAAAAUUUUUUUUUUUUUUUAAAAGACACAUGGGUGUCGGGCUGACAAAGACUGCAAAAGCUGGCUGCCGGGCAGAGCUGCCGGGCACUCUGCCCGGCAGCCAGUCAAAUUGUUAAAAAAAAAUCGGCAGGCUUCAAUGCAAUUCAGACACAGUAGCUCCCGUGAAUUUUUCACACUUUUUUGCUUCAGAUUUGCCCCUUUUGGCAGGCUUGUGGACAAAACAAAAAUUGUCUGGCAGCUCCCGUGAAGCAAAAAAGCUGAACUAAAAGAAAAAUUUACGUACGAUUGGACAAAAAAACUAUGCUCCAUUAGACUUUAGCAGGUCGUGAAACAAUAAUUGUGUGCUACCGGUAGUAUAAUAUUUUUUUUUUUUUAAGAAACUUUGUAAUCUAGCUGUCCAAACGGACGGCUAGAUUUUACCUUAUGCUCUAUAUAAGCACUGAGGAACUUCCUCAUCGUCCGCACCUCUCACUUUCUCCCAUACGGAAUUUACAUUUCUCACUUUUCUCCCAGCCCUCAGUCGGAGUUUACAUUUCUCAGUGUCUCACACUUUCACACGAGCACCUCACUUUACAUUUUGCAGAGUUGGGCGUAUUACUAUCUUGUGGCCCUAAUCGAUAUUUCGAAGAGUUGGGCAAAGAACUGUCCCGUGGUCCAAAUCGUGAGUGUUUGUUGGCUUAGUCCUCCUUAUUUAACAAAUGAUUAUUACCUUGUUUGGCAGUAGAAUUGGCUUGUGGUCCCGUUGGUGUUUCUAAUAAUUACCUUAUUCUUAUGCAGAAUUGGCAUCAGGCGCUUGGUGUCGUGUUUUUGUUAAUCGCCGUGCUGAUUAAUUGCGGUGCUUCUGUUAAGGUCGCGGGGCUCAUUACUCCCGGUGCUCCCGAGGCAAUCGAUUUUUUGGAUUCAAAAGAGGUUAGUGAUUUGUAUUAUAUAAAAGUUGUUAUAAUUUGUCAUUUUAUGUUAGUGAAUUGUUGAUAAAUAUUUUAUGUUAUUGUUAUAAUUUGUUAUUAAUUAAAUAUUUAAUUUAUUAUUGAAGCAAUUGUAAACAGAUAAUGUAGUUUACGUAUGUUUGCUAAUAUUAGUUAGUGAAGCACGGUACACGCUUAGUUGAAUUAGUUUAGUGAUUGAAUUAGUUUAAGUAGAUUAAUUAGUUGUUUAAAUUUGUUUAAUAAAUGUAUUUAAAGUGAUUGAUUAAAUGAAUGUAAAUCUAUAAUAAAUGCAGUACAUAAAAUUGAUGUCAUUAGCAUAGCUUAAUAUCGAAAUUAGUAUUAUUGGUUCAAUGCAAUUCACUUUAUUAUGCAAGUUAGUUGAUAAUUAGUCCACGGUAUUUAGUAUAUGAUUAGUUUAAUUAGUUUUGUGAUUUAAUUAGAUUAAUUAGUUGCUUUUUAAUUAGUUGAAUGAAUUAAAUUUAAUAGGUUCGAUUAAAUGAAUUUAGAUGUAUUUGUCGAGUCAUGUAUUGAGUUUUGAUUAUGAUAGCUAUUUAGUGGGGAUAAUUUAAGUAUUUGAAAUAAUUGCUACUUUUAAUACAUUAAAUGCAUAAACGUAAUGUAAUUAGGUUAGCUUUAUUUCAAAAUUAGGGGUAUUAGUUUAAUGCAAUUCACUUUGUUGCGCAAGUUAGUUGAUAAUUAGCUUGUGCUAUUUAGUAUCUGAUUAGAUUAAGUAGUUUUGUGGUUUAAUUAGUUAAAUUAGGACCUCUCACUCUUUUGUAAUUAAUUAAUUUUAAGAGGUCGAUUAAAUGAACUUAGAUUUAUUUGUCGAGGCAUGUAUUGAGUUUUGAUUAUGAUAGCUAUUUAGUGGGGAUAAUUCAAGUAUUUGGAAAAAUUGCUACAUUUAAUACAUUAAAUGCAUAAACAUAAUGUAAUUAGCAUAAAAUCAUUUUAAAAUAGGGUUUUUAAUAUUAGUAAGAUAUUUGAUUAGAAUUUCAUAUUUAAUUGACCCAAUAUGAAAUGUAGGUGCAUGAUAGACUUAGCAUAAGGUAAAAUUUUUAUAACUAAAUGUAGUAAUUAAGGUGGUUAAUUAGGUUUACUUUGCUAUUUAUUAAAUGAUACGUUUAUUUGUUAUAAAUGGUUGAAUUAUUUAAUUAUAAUGCAUUUUUUGUUGUUAUUUGUUAUAUUAUUGGUUAUUAUUUGUUACAAUUAUGGACUCAUAAUUAUUUAUUUAUUUGUUAUAAAUUAUACACAUUUGAUUCGAUCAAUUAAUUGAUUAUUCAAAUAAGCUUAUCAAUGCGAUUUUACAAUGUUAUCAACACUCGUCCGUAAUAGGUAUAACAUGUCAAGUGAUAAUUGCCUGGUGAAACAAUUAUAUUGGGGAUGAAAAAUUAUAUACAAAAAGGGGUCAAUUUCAUAUGAUCAUCCUAUACCGAAAAAUGCGUUGUUCCUGACAGAGGUGGUGGGUUAUGAUGAAUUGGUAGACAGAAUAUACACUAGUAUGGGUUUAGAUCGGAACAACUAUAAGAUUAGUUUGAUAUAUCGGAGUUGUCUCCAAAAUGGCAAGUUUGGUGCAAUGCCUUUGGUAAAUGACAAUGGAGUUGCUGGUCUGUACUACUUACAAUCUGGUAGUAGACUUGCAACCAAAAUAUAUGUGGAGGUCGAGAAGCUAUUGGGUUUAGAAGAACAUGGUACCGAUAUUUUACAAAUUAUAAGUGGUAAUCUUGAGCGAGGCGGUAGCAGUUCCGAACAUAUAUCUUUAUUCCAGCCAGUCGGCCAUUUUGAGAGUCAAAUGACCCAACUAGCUGGAGCAGAUGUCGAACAAAGGCAUAGAGGGCGAAGAAGGGGUACUGGUCGGCGGACGAAUAAUGAUCCUCCAUGUACAGGUGCUCGACCGAUAAUUCACACCUCAACCAUUCAUUCUCGAGGUGCGGAUAAUGAAUCGGCACCAAUGUUUGAUGCACAGCCAUCUACUGACGAUCAGUUUGUAGAUGUUGACAUGGACUCCGAAUCGGAGCCCAAUCUUAGUGGUUCCGAUGAUGAGAACCACGAACAUCAUACUGAUAGUCAAGCAGGGUUUCUAGAGGGCACAUUUAUGGCCCAUGAUGACAUGGAUCAUGGUGCUCCUUGGAUAAAUAGUGAGGGUCCACAACUGCGUUAUGAAGCUGGUAUUGACGCUGCAUUGAAUUUUGACCCCCUUGAUGCUGGGCGAGUGGAGAAGUUAAGAAUGUGGAACGAACACACCAGAGAUUUAGAAUUGGGCCAUCUUUUUGAAUCAAAGGAGCAUGUCCAACGAGCUGUAAAGUUGUGGUCCAUCAAGGAGAACAGGGAGUUCAGAGUUCGUGAGAGCACGCCAACGACUUGGUAUGUUCGUUGUCGGGCUCGUAACUCCGUCCCCCCUUGUAAUUGGCAGCUUCGUGCAACCUUACGGAGCUCGCACAACAUGUGAAUGAUUGUCAUACUUGCUGACGCACAUACUUGCAUCCGUGUUUGCUAUAGUAACGAUCACCGUGGAUUGAGUAGUGACAUAAUUGCCGAGCACAUUAUUCCCCAUAUUAUGAAUGGUCCGGUGUACAAAAUCAAGGAAAUUCAGGCAUCGGUGAAACAAGAGUUUCAUUGCGAUGUGUCAUAUAAGAAGGCUUGGUACGCUAGACGCCGUGCCAUUGAUAUGUUAUAUGGGGACUGGCCGACAUCCAUAUCGCAACUGCCGACAUAUAUUGAGGAGUUACAACGGUCGAAUCCAGGGACGGUAGUUGUGUGGGAUCAUCAUCCAUUAAGUACCCCCUCUGCAAUAAUUUUUGAUUAUAUAUUUUGGGCAUUUGCUCCAGCCAUCCAAGCUUUCCGCUAUCUAAAAUCGGUGAUAUGCGUGGAUGGUACCUUUUUGAAAGGGUCUUAUCGGGGAAAACUUCUUGUCGCCAUAGGGUUUGAUGCUGACAAUUCAAUGUUUCCCUUGGCAUAUGCCCUAGUUGCUGAGGAGAAUAAUCGGAGUUGGUCUUGGUUCAUGAGACUGUUACGCAUUCACGUGUGUGGUGAUGUGCAAAAUAUAUGUAUUAUUUCUGAUCGUCACCAUGGCAUUAUAAACGCAAUGCGUACACUCGAAGAGUGGCAGGAGCUAUUAGGGGUGCACCGAUUUUGUUUGAUUCAUAUUCGGAGCAAUUUCACACAAAAAUUCAAGAAUGAGAGGUAAAUUGUCUCCGAACCCUUAAAUAUUUUUUCACCGCAUCCUAACAUAUUAAACAUAUAUUAAACUUAUUCUGACGAUAUUUUAUGCUGCCUGAUAGACUUAAAAGCCUGAUGUACGCUGUUGGUGUGGCAAAUCAGCCGCGCAAGUAUGAGGACAUCAUGAAUUUGAUUUACUCCUUGAAUACGAAGGCGUACUCAUCCCGGUCCGUUGGAUGACAGUGUUUUAUAUCUACAAUCAGAACAUAGGUCAACUGCGAUCUUCCAAGGCACUGGUGUGGAUUUAGAUGUUCGGCGGUGUGAUAAGAGGUUUUUUCAACCUCUUAUACAUUUAGAUGAACGGGUUGCGCACUACAUCGAUGCUGCUGGCUUUUAUGGCAUUCGCCGAGCCGGUUAUCUCACAGUAGAUCAUGGUCUUAUAAAUGCACUUGUGGAGCGUUGGAGGCAAGAGACACACACUUUUCACCUUCCAGUUAUGGGAGAGGCGACUGUGACUCUGCAGGAUGUGGAGGUUUUGUGGGGUCUAAGCGUUGAUGGUCUACCCGUCACAUUAGUACAGACGAAACCUAGUCCAUUAGACCGCAAACAGUUAGUUAACGACCUUUUGGGAUAUUGGCCAGAAGAUAACAUGCUCAACCACGAUCGUCUGAAGUUAUCGUCCAUAUCCCAACGGUUGAGUACCCCACUGCCUGCAGAUGCUUCUGAUGAGAUGGUUCGCCAGUAUGUCCGGAUGAACAUCCUAAUUCUAUUGGGUGGAUUGCUAUUUGCAGAUUCGUGUCAGAACGUCGUCAGUUUAAGUUGCCUAGACUAUGUUUGUGAUUUGGCUGCCAUGGGCCAGUACAGAUGGGGAUCUGCGACGUUGGCGUGUUUAUACCGACGAUUGUGCCACGCAUCACGUGUUUCUGCAAUCACAUUUGGAGGUCCGUACUUGUUAGUACAGCUUUGGGCGUGGGAGCGAAUUCCCGUGAUUCGUCCUGAUGUACUCCCAUAUUCUGGGAUUGGGGAUUUUCCUAGAGGUGGUAGAUGGGCCGCUGAACGAACUGGGGUUGAUCCUUAUAGCCGAUCCAGCACAUCUUAUCGGGAGCAGCUAGCCUUAUUGCGGUUGGAUCAGGUAUAACGUCUAUAUCAAUAAAUUAUAUUUUAUAGUCCCUCAUUUUUAAUUUUGGAUCGUAUCUAAAUUAUGGUUAUGGUAGCAGUUUAUUUGGAUGCCGUAUAGCGAUGGCGUAUUGGCUAGUCUACCUGAUUAUUGCAGAAGAGGGGAGCGCAUAUGGCGGGCAAGAGUCCCUCUAAUUUUCUGGCAUAUCGUCGAAAUACAUUGUCCAGAUCGUGUCAUGCGCCAAUUUGGGAUGAGGCAGGAAAUUCCGGACGAAGUUGACACUAAUCGAGGUUUACACCAAUUGGAGAUUUCCGGUUAUCUUGGAAGAAAUUGGGCUCAUUUUCAUCGGGAUUGGAUAGAAUACUGGAAUACGCGUGCAGAAGCACAAGUACCUGGUGUGCCUACAACCACGUUCAAGCCUUCCAAUAAUUAUCUGGAGUGGUAUCACAAUCACACCGUUCUGUAUAUUACUCCUCCUAUCCAGCAGCAGGCACAAGUUGGACAAAUGUUGCAUGGAGUUUCGGGCCAAUUUGAGUAUUUAGUAAAUUACUACUAUCUCCCAAAUUUAAUUUAUUUACUUUUGGACAAUGGAUGAUCAUGUUUUCUCCCAUUUUGUAUAUGUCAGAUGAAUACUAUGCAGCGCAUUGGUCGGCAAUCACAUGAUGCACUUGAACUUGAUGACCCUGGAAGUCGAUUUCAUCCACGUCUUGCAACAAUUGCUGAUGGAGCAUAUGGAUCAAUGCAAUAUCUCCAGCGCUUUGAUCGCAUGGUUGUUGGUGAUUAUGAUUCUUUCGAUCAUAAUCCUCAUGUGACACCAGAAAUUCCUAUCCAACCUCGCGUGCGACGUGUCCCUACACAAGGUGGACCAUCAUCUAGUAGAAGUCGACGCCAUAGGCAUGGGUUGCAAGACGAAGUCAUUGAGGAGACGGGCAUUCAAAUGACCGAGGGGGGCACUCAGUCGCAUUACAACCCGACUAGUAAUCAAUUCACCACAUCUGUGUCUGUGCCGAUGACAGACAUCCACGGUGUGUCACCUGGACAGAAUAUAUCGGCCUUUACCCCUCAGGUGACAUCGUUCCCGCACUCACAGCAUAUUGCUCUAGAUGCCACGCCUUUGCCACAGUUUCCACCUUUUGGUGUAUAUUCCAGGCCCUCUCCAUAUUUGCCUGUAUUUGGGGGACAUUUUUCAUCCUCGUCAAACGAGCCUCCAUUUGGAUACGUUGCCACUGCAGCGGCCUCAUCUUCUACUGCUAACCUACAUCCAAUAUUCAAUUUUCUGAACGAAACGAGUGGUGUUCCUUCCAUUUCAGACCUUCCCGAUUAUUACAGUCUUGGACAGACUAUGACCGUACCUGCGUCGAUCCAGCCGAUAUCUACUACUACAUACGGUCAAAUGGAAAAUUUUGUCACGUAUCGUUCUCAACACGAUGGUGAUAGCAGUACGACAGUUGAGUCGGAUGAGGAGGAUGACGUAGGACCCUAUGCUCUUCGUGAUCGUUGCAGACGAAAGCCUAAAAGAUUUUGCUGUCCGUCUACAACACCAGGUGAUAAAAGCAAGGGCAAAAGGCGUACCAACCGUUGAUAUGAUCAUUUCAAUUGCAUGUUUUACAAUUUCAAAUAUUUGAAUAUGGGGAUUUAGCGUUAAUUUAAUCUUUUAUUAUUAUAAUGCUUAUCGCUAUUUUUAAAUUCACGAUUGUACAAUGUCAUGUUAUGCAUUUUUUCUUCUUAUGUUGAUUUUUUAUUGCAUAAUUUCAAAUAAUUAUAAAAUCUUUAUUUCAAGUGAAACUUAAUAGACAACUACUUGAAAUGCCAAAAAAAAUAACUGCUUACAUAUUAUUCAAUCGACUUAACGCUAUAUAGUUACUUAUAUUAUAAUAGAAUAUUUAAUUAACUAUUUAAAUUUACCAAAUAUAAGUAUUGAACAUUAGAUAAUGAAUAAAUUUUUAAGAGGACUUUUAUUGUAAUUUUCAAAUAUAUACUAUUUUUCAUAUAUGCAUAAUCAGCUUUUUCCAGUGCCCAAUAUACUUCUCUGUGCGUCUCCACAUUUGCAUUGCUCCUACUUAUUGUGCGCAGAAAAGUGAACUUUCCACCAUACAAAUGUAACCUAUGUUUAAUUCUUCUCUCCGCUUUAAUUCCGUGGAUGUUUUUAGGGUUUUAGGGUUUAGGUUUUAGAAAUGCAUUCUUCUUUAGGGUUCCUUCUUUAAGGUUACAUUAUUUUGUACUUCUACGCUGUGUAUAGUCUAGGGUUCAGGGUUUAGGGUUUAGGGUUCAGGGUUUCAGGGUUUAGGUUUCAGAAAUGCAUUCUUCUUUAGGGUUUGGGGUUUAGGUUUCAGAAAACAUUUAUUUGUUAAAAUUUAUCAUUUGUUUAUCAUUUGUUUUAUCAUUUAAUUUGUUUUAACAAAUGAUGAAACGUGCAUCAUAUAUAAAAGAAAAUUUAGUGAAAUAGAAAAUUUUAGUUUGAGUAUAUAGUAACUUUAGUUGUAAAUAGUAUUAGGUAUUAUAAUCGGUUAUAAUCAGGUAUUAUGAUUAAAAUAACAAAUAAAGGUGAUUACCAAUAUAAAGAACUCACAUUAAUUUUUAAAAAACUUCUUGCCAUUUCUUCUUGUCUUUCUUGCAUAUUAAAUCAAAUAUUUCAAUCAUACAAUUUGUUCAUCUUACAUUUAUUUGUUCAUCUUACAUUUAUGUUUAUCUUACAUUGAUUUUUUUAUUGCAUAAUUUCAAAUAAUUAUAAAAUCUUUAUUUCAAUUAAAACUUAAUAGACAACUACUUGAAAUACCAAAUAAAAUAACUGCUUACAUAUUAUUCAAUCGACUUAACGAUAUAUAGUUACUUAUAAUAUAAUAGAAUAUUUAAUUAAUUAUUUUAAUUUACCAAAUAUAAGUAUUGAAUAUUAAAUAAUGAAUAAAUUUUUAACAGCCUUUUAUUAUAAUUUUAAUAUAUAUAAUAUUUUUCAUCCAUGCAUAAUUUGAUUUUUCGAGUGUCCAAUAUACUUCUUUAUUCUUUAUGCAUCUCUACAUCUGCUUUGCUUCUGCUUAUUGUGCGCAGGAAAGUGAACUUUCCACCAUAGAAAUGUAACCAAUGUUUAAUUUUUACCUCCACUUUAAUUCCGUGGAAUGGAAGAAUAUUGUCAGAAAUGCAUUCUUCUGCCGCAUUUUUUUUUUAAAAACAGGCCGGCAGCCAGCUUUUCACACAGGUAGAAGCCAAACGCAUGGCUAAUCUAACCACUUCUUCUUCAUAAAGCGCUAUAGCUUUGAAGGUCGUUUCAUAGCUUGCCAAAUGUCCUAGUGCUCUAACAGCUACCCUUUGCUCUACCCAGCUCAUCUUUCCUCUAAGAAGCUCCAAUAACGGUGGUAUGAACCAAUAAUAUGGCUAAUCUACUCGGCAUUCAUCUUAUAAACAGUAUGUGGCCGAAUUUUUUUUUUUUUAACAAUUUGAUUGGCUGCCGGGCACUCUCUGCCCGGCAGCCAGCUUUUGCAGUCUUUGUCAGGUGCCGGGCUGACCCAUGUGUCUUUAAAAAAAAAAAAAAUUUUUUUUUGGUGUCAGGUGCCGGGCUGACAGAUAUAUACAGAACCCCUGUCAGACCCACAAGUGUCUGAAUAUUUUUUUUUUCACCUAUAUUCUAAUCAAUUAGCCUGAGUUUGCAAAUGACUUCCAGGUUGAUAAUCGAAACUGUGGCACGUAAAUAUCUAGCAUAGUCCCAGAGCUCUUUGGUCCACUAGUGUCUGCUGAAAACUUCCGUAGCCUAGCUUUCCAGUGACGUGACAGUAGUUUUAACGUAGGCAUUCUUUCUCCAAGAUACUUGGGGAACUAGCUUUCCAGAUUGAGGUCCUCAACGUCCAUAUACUCCUCCUGAGUCCUUCCUGCCACCCUCUUGGGUGGAUCCUUGGCUAUCUGCUGCCAUGAUUCUUCAGUGCAGACCAGGUUACUUGUGGGCGGCAAUAUGUCCUCAAGAGAACACUCAAAUAUGCUUGAAAUUCAGGAUGUAAGAUUCAUCAUUUUCCUCUUUUUGAAUGACAGAAUGAAGGUUGAAGGGUGUUUCCUACUUAGGUGCAAAUUGUGCCUAAUUAUUAUUAUUUUUUUGUCUGCUCUACAGCCACUUUGAAGGGGCAAGGCAAGCACAAAGUUUCAGACUUUUAGCAACCAGGAGGAGGAAAUGCACCUUAAAUUUGCAGGAAGAGCCUCUCAAGAUUUCCAAGAAAAAAGGCAGUAUUGCUGGUGCUGUUUCUCUGAUUAUUGGAACCAGUAUUGGUUCAGGAAUUCUUGCCCUCCCAAAGAAAACAUCGCCUGCGGUAACUUUUAAGCUCUCUCUUUAGUCUUCACUCUUCACUACUUUUGGCUUGAAUCUUUAAAAUAAAUCAUGUUUCAUGCUAGAUUGUUAAACUGAUUAGUUGGGUAGAUGAGGAGAUUAUAUUUCGUGGUUCAAUUUGCAGGGGUUCUUUCCAAGUUCAAUAUCUAUGACUGUAUGCUGGGUUUUUCUAUUAAUAGAAGCAUUAUUGCUCGUUGAAGUCAAUGUGAGGCUGCUGAAGAAGAAAAGCAUGAGAUUAAAAGCGGAUGAAUGGGGGAUCAUCUCCAUUAGGACUAUGGCUCAGGAGACACUGGGAGAAUGGGGUGGAGCUCUGGCUACUGUUACCUAUGUUUUCUUGGGUUAUACUUCUAUGAUCGCCUAUACAGCAAAGUCAGGAGAGAUCCUUAACCAUUUGAUUGAUCUUCCAGAAUCAAUUUCAGGCAUCUUCUUCACUGCCUUCUUCACCACACUCAUCUUCGUGGGUGGGACACAAGCCACUGAUCAAGUGAAUCAAUGGCUCACUAUUGCCAUGAUAGGUAAAUUUUGUGCCGAAAUUUUUGUAGCUUGCAAGUUGUUAAAUUAUCAUUAGUGGGGUCAUCUUUUAUUCUGGAAGAGAUUUGAGAAUUUCAAGUUCCGAGUAUUUAGCUGAAUGCUUGCUAACAACGUGAGAGUUGAUCAGGCCUGCUGGUGGCAAUUGAGGUUUUAGCUGUUGCCUUCGGUGGGUGGUCAGGAUUUGGAGGGAGUGAUAACUGGGAAAAAGUUCCGGCAACCAUUCCAGUAAUCAUAUUUUCGUUGGUUUAUCAUGACCUUGCUCCUGGUACAUAUUAAAGGUUUCCUGUUCUUGUCUAAGAAUUGCAAACAGUUGAUUGCUAUGCCUCCUGGUUUAUGGAUGGAUUCUUUUGCAGUUCUUUGUUCUUAUCUGGGAGGGGACCUUUCACGCAUCAGGGCUUCAGUUUUGCUUGGCAGUAUUGUCCCUUUACUAGCUUUGCUUAUUUGGGAUGCUAUAGCACUUGGGCUGUCAGAGCAGGUUGAUCAAGUUGCUGAUCCUGUUGAACUUCUUAUGAGGUCAUUCAAUUUUUGGACGUGUUCAUUGACUAUCCAAUAGGAUGAUAUAACAACUGCUAUCCCAAACUCUUAUAACCUAUUUUUUUGCAAAUGAAUCCCACGACUCUUGUGGGAUUAGUUUCAACUUCAUACUCGAUUAUGAACGUCUAGAAUCCUCAAGCUACUAACAUACUGUUUUGAUAGAGAGUAAGCUGGGGAGGGGUGUCAUUUAUGGUUUGAGGCCUUCUCACUUCUGGCUAUUGGAACUUCACUUAUUGGCACCCUUCUUAGCUUUUCAGAAUUUUUCAAAGAGCAGCUUAAUAGCCUGUUAACCUUCUCACCCAUGACCCGAAAACUCAAGGUAGUUAUCUUUCUGCACUAUAUAUGCUGUGUUAGCAUUAUUACCAUUCAGAUUCUCUUAUCAGAGAAGUCUGAAAGCUAAUCAGCUAUAUAGUUUAUACCUCCAGGAGAGAUCAAAUUCAGACUUUGGUUUAAUGGAAUGGUGGACGAGUAAGAAAAUAAGCUUCACGGCGACAGCAAUGGUUGUUGUUCCAUCCCUUUUUGUUUCAACAACAGUUCCAGAUGCAUUUUCUGCUGCAACAGAUAUUGCUGUAAGUUCCGUUCUGUUGUCUUCAAUGUUACAAACUCACAGCUGAAGCCACUGCUCCAUUUUAUCCUUCCUUCUACUGCUUUCUAAAUUUCUCAAGAUGGGAUUUCUGGUGUUAGUAAAACCCACAAAUUACGCCUAGUAUGAUCCUCACAUUUGUUUCUGUGACAAUAUCAUUUUCUGAUACAACAGUUGCUAAUAAUAUGGAACAGGGAGGCUACUGCAUGACAAUGCUCUAUGGAGUUUUUCCACCUGCAAUGGCUUGGGCCGUGCUUUCCAAAAAUGGUGAAGGCAGUGACCACAUAGCAGGACCCAGAUUCAGGCCAACACUUAUCUGUGUAGGAAUAUUGGCUGGUGCAAUAUUGAUAGAGCAAAUAUUUCAAGAUCUGUCAAUCUUGCAAUCCUAGAACAGUACUAACAACACAGCAUAUUUUACUAGUUGAUUUCUUUUUCUUUUUCUUUCUUACAACCUUCGAGGCAUUUAUCUUGAUCCAACUGGUUAUUGUAACCAGUCUGUUAAAAAACCUAUAUACAGUACAAUAGUGAUAAACUGCAAGCCCUGCUAUAUACACUCGACGGGCAAUGAGACAAACGGGAAACCAGUAAACACGGAAUGCAUUAGAAACAUGCUGAUUUAUACAGGCGUACCAUAACAGCUAUAUUAUGCCAGAUAGUAAACGGUGAUUCAUGAUCUAAAAGCCAGAAAUGUCUUUAGUCAAUUUAAAGGAGUCAAUAUCUUAAAACUACAUGGAUUUUUCACACAACCACUCAUUGCUACAACAAUUUAGUAUUAACAGAACAUUUCAAGCAAAAAUAGCACGCCCUUUAAAGUAGAAACACAUAUAACAACUGACUCUCUCAAAAGGGUUUAUUCAAUUUUUUCAAAAUAAUAACAAGCAGAAAUAUCAUUCUUCUUUCCUCCCAAAUAACUUAUUCAUUUACUGGCAAAGGAUGUCACCAAUAAGAGAUUGCAUAGUUGAUCUGGAGGAAAUCAAUAACUGAUUGGACUCAAUUGUUUGAUGUAUAUCCUCAAAAGUAACAAAUACUGAUACAAAUAGCCAUAGGAACAUCACAUUUUUAUUUGGUAAGAGGCCACAAUCAACAAAUACAGGUAAUAAAUUACUAACGUACAAGUAGACACCAAGCGUUUGAUUGACUAAGCACAACAUCCAUAAAAAAUGACGAAAAAGCCUUCAGUAAAACCCAUGAGCUACCAAGAACUUAAAUCUUUACAGAAGUCACGUGCCUCAGAAGCAGCUGAACAACAUCAUGGGAAAUUCUGGAAGAUUCAUUCUUUAGGUGAUGGAUCUUUGCCUCCGUUUCUUGUUCAAGUCGUUUCACAUUAGCACCUGAGUCUCCACUAGUCUGUUUGAUAGCACCAAUAUAGAAUCUUAUAAGUAGUUUAUCUAAGAGGUAGAAAAACAAGAAAUAGAUUUCAAAACAACAUAUCAUAGGGAGAACUCAAACAGAAGCAAGAUUUCUUAGCAGUAAGACUUCACAAGUGCUUGGAUCAUUACUUUGUAUGUCAGAGUACUUGAAAAAGAAAUACAAGUAUAGUGUUAAUAUAUCAAUUUCAACCAGAGUGCAAAUAAUUUAAACCACUAAGCAUUCAUGUGAUUUGACCCCCAUAGCAUUCUAUAAAGUUUCAAUUACAGUCCUUUUCUCCCCCAACUUUUACCUGUGCAACCUUUCUCUGAAACUCAGCUUCCAUUUGUGCACGGAAUUCCGCAAUUUCCUUCUCAGCUUCUUCCUUGGCCUGUUUUAGUCUAGCCUGUUUUGCUGAACAAUAAAAACAACAAAACUAACCUGUUAAUUAAUUGCAGAUAAUUUGACCCUGCAACAUUGACAUAUGCAACACUAAAUUUGUCCAUGAAUAAUCAAGAUCUUUUGCAACGUGAAGUUCUUAGCUCAUGGAGUUACAUGAAAUCACAAAGGCAGAUAGCAACAGCAACAACUUCUAGUUAUACAGAUACAAAAAAAUAACGUGAUGAGAUUCUCUAGAUUUCCUGAAACCUGAUUCUUUGGGUGGAACUUUAAACCAGAAGGACAAAAUCCAACCCCAGCAUGAAACCAAUGUCAUUUGCAGGAUGCACAGUCUGUAGUAAACCAGUUGGAUCAAAAGGUGACAAUAAGUUGUUGGCAAAAUAUUAUGUACUAAGCCAGAUCAAAUUUCGAGGUCCAAAUUCUGAGUUAUGUGCAGCGGGUAAUUAAGUUUGACUUGUCCUUGUCAAAAUUGAAAGAGAAAGCUUCAUAUACCUACGCUACAUAACUAUUGGGACAAGUCCAGUCUCAAACACAAUUAAUUCUUUAUGAAUAGUUUACCAACCCACAUAUCAUAGAUCAUCCUUUUUCAACCAUUCUCCUCAAAUUAUCCAACUCUAAGACUAAGAGGGUUUCUAGUCCUCAUAAUGCGCAAUGCUUGUUUAGUAUUAUUAAUUUCACUUGCAGUUCAACCAUACAGCUGAACAGUAAUCGUCACUUUCUAACUCUACAUAAUAUCUCUAAACAGAAAAUAAACAACCAGAAAUUGAAAAGUUGGAGAACAAUAAAGCAUUCCUCAGCCUCUUAUUUCAAUCUAUAAACUGGAUCCCCACCCCAAGGAGCACAAGUUCUUUAGUUUACCACCCAAAUGUAGUCUAUACCACGUAAUUACAGGUGCAAAAACAAUUAAAAAAAUUCAAAUAUAAGCAAAAAGUAUUACCAGCUCUAGCAGCAUUGACAAUGUGUUGAGCUUCCUGUUCUGCCGCUAAUAACAGUUGAAUUCCAUUCUGGCCUCUGUUGGCAUCCAUACUUGCAGAGAUAGACGAAAGCAACUGAAUUGAUUGAAAAAGUAACUAAAGAGACCAAAUAUGACACUUGCAAAAGCCAUACAAUUGCUUCACGGAACAAAUUGAUUGUGACACUUGAUUGCUGAAUUACACAGUACACACAGUAUUUGAUUCUAACAGACAGACAGCAUUUACUUUUGGUAAGCAACAGUUAUUUGACCACACUAUAGAAUCCAACAAAUGUCUGCGAGUUCAUAUAUCAUGUUCCAAAUACCAAAUACAAUUAUCCGGCUUCAAGAUGUGCUGUCUGAAUCAAACUCUUAUCAAGCUUCUAAUCACAACAUCACAAAGACCAGUCCAUUAAAGCCACUUAUCAAUCAAAUCAAUGAUAAAAAUCUCAUCCUUACAUCUUCAAUAAAACUAUUUAGACAACGUUCAGUAGCAAAUCUGGUAGACAAACAACCACCUAUGACUAUGAGUGCAUUCAGCCUAAGCAAGACAUUGAACAUUCAAGUACUCAAGUAUGUAUCCUCAUUUCCACUUGCUCAUCAGCAGGAUCAAAAACAGCUUAUCUUUUUCACAGAGAUGAUAACUACAUUCUUACCAUACUCCAGCCAAUCAGCUAAACAGCAUCAAAGUGGUAUCUGGACAAGGUUGACCUAGUUGAUCUUUUGUUUCACAUGCAACCUACGGCCACUAGUCCUAUAGGAGCCAAAAGGCAUAUAGCAGAAAGGAAAUCUAAGAAAGAGACCAUUUUAACAAGAUGUAACCAAUAUUUAACCCACUGAUCAGUAAAAUACCUUAUUCUCUAAAUUGAUUUUUGCACGGUAAACUUCUGAAAACUAGUAAACUAGAUCCAAUUAAGUAAACCAACCUAACGAUCAGCAGAACAUUACAAAGAUCAGUUCACACAACUUAUCAAUCAACCAUGAAAAAGAUUUCAUCUUUACAUCUCCAAAAUGAACUAUUCUAUUCCAAACUUGUAUUCAGACCAUGUCCAGUAGCAAAAAUUCAAAUCCGGUUGACAAAUGACCAACCAAGAAAACAAUUCAACAUGAUGGAGAGAUUCUAGCAGAACCCAUCAGUCCAAAAAUUUUUCAUUAACUUCAAACAAACAUAAUCCUAAAUUCAUCAGUUCAAAAAAUACUCGAACCCAAAAAAAAGGGGAAUUCUUUAUCUAAACAACCAUCAAGGAGAAUGAAGGUUCAAAGCCACAAGACACUAAAUUCUUUUGCCACACAACUACAUCAAAUAAGUUUAAAGAACCCUUUAAUCCAGAUCCAAAACUUACCGAAUCAGAUCAUAAACCAAGCAAAACAAUCUCGAUCUAUCUUAAUUACUAUUAGGUACUUCUACUGUCCAGGAAAAAAAAAAAGAGACCCAAAAUAUCUAGCAGGGAAGAAAGCAAGAAGAAGCGCCGAGCAGUUAAAGAUUUGGGAGGGAGAAGGAGAUGGAAAUGGAGAAGCAGGGGGGAAGUUGUUUUACCUGCUGCGGAAACGGGGAGUUAGGACAAUGAAUCAAUCUAUCCAGUAGUAGCAAAGAUUAUGACUUUAUCACUACUAAACUCUGACCACGGCCCUUGAGUUUAUUUUUGUUCCGGAACGCACGUCCUAUGUGUUUUGGGGAAGUUCUGAACUCCAAAAAGUCGGGUGGAUCCUUGUAAAAGAGUCAAUUACGUGACACACCAGUUUCCUUAGACAAGUAAAAGUACAACCUUAAUUACGACAACUUCUUCCUUAUUUCAAAAAUUAACAAAUCCGAGGUUUGUAUGUAAUUAUUCGACCAUUUUUAAUGUGUUUGUUUGAUUCUUUUCACUAAUAUUUUGGCCCCCUAAUCAAGUUCAACGAUCUCUCCUCUUUGCAAACACAUAAAAAAAAUCAUAAUUAACGAAAUUAAACAAAACUUAUCUAAUAUGUUACCGUGCCAAAAAAAAAAAAAAAUCCACUCAUAUUUGUGAAAGUUUUGGCAUAAAUAAAAACUCCAAUCAAAUUUGUGAAAGGUUUUAUGUACUAAGUACUAAAUGUGAUUGUGAGGGAUUCAAGAUUUACUUCUUUCUUUCUUUUUUAUUUUUCAACAGGAUGUUGAAAAUUUACCUUCUCUAUUAAGAUAGAAUCUACCUUAAUUUAGUUUUAUCAGUUGGUAAGAAAGUAUACAUAAAUAGCAAAAUCUUACUCUAACUUAUAUGAUGACUCAAAUCAUGAAACUAAUUAAUAAUUUAUCUCCUUAAUUUUAAAAAUUUUCAUGUUUAUCUUUAGAGAUCAUGAUUUUCAAUCACUUUUUUUUUUCUUUUAAAGCGAACUUAUAUCAAUACCUCUCCUUAUUGAAUUGGUUUUUUUCUUUUAACUUCUUUGGUGAAGCGCGCAAAUUGGUGCCUCCAACAGCUUUAGGUUUGUAAACUUUCCUCUGUGAAUAGUUUAUAGUCCCAUCAUGAUAGAUAGGAUUCUAGAGAUCAAAAAGUGAGUUUUGAUUCUCAAUGCAAGAGGCCGUAAUCGUUGCCUUUUAAACUUAUUUGGAAAAACAAAAAAUUCCACGAAAAAACACAUUUCAUAUGCAAAUCGAACAAAUUUUCAUUACAUCUAAUCAAACAAUUUUGGUUCUGGGUUAUUUAGAUUAUGCAUGUCGUUUUUUCUCUAAUGACUUGUAGUAGAAAGCAUCUAUGACUUGUAGAUAAGGUAUUCUAUGUAGCAUUCUUAUUUUACUUUUAGAAAUCAGCUUCAACAUGAAUAUAUUUAAGUGCAAAGUAUCUUGCAUGAGAAAUCUUUUGUUUGUCGUAAUUAAGUCUCAGAUCAGAGGUGAUUUCUCCUUGCUUCAUAGCCAAACCGCGACUUCCUCGUAUAACUUCGACGACUUCGACACACCCUGGCUGCACACCCUAUUACACCAACAGCAGCAAAAACUCCUAUUACUGUUCCCGCCUUCUGUCCACCAGUUAGUCCUUCUGAGGAGCUUUCUGAUGCUGGUGGUGCUGGCGCUGAUGGACUUAUGUCACCUGGUGGAGGUGGAGUAGAGUUAUUUGGGGGAGGUGGACUGAAGUUUCCUGGUGGAGGAGAAGGUAAGUCAACAGAUGGCGGUGGAGUGAAGUUGCCAGGUGGUGGAGGGGCGAAGUUAACCCCCCGGGGGGGGGGGGAGGAGGAGGAAACUCACCAGGUGGUGGAGGCGUGAAGUUACUCGGUGGUGGUGGGGGAGUUAAGUUACUUGGUGGAGCUGGUGAUAUUGGUACAUUUUGAUCAAUUGGAGGUGGCGGAGAAUCUGCAUGGACUUUAAGUUCUAUUAAGGUUACUACCACUAGUAGAAAAAAGAUGGAACCUAAAUAAACCCUCCAUGGCCAGCUAAUACUACUAAUAUUCAGAUUCUCUAUGGGGAAACUAACUAAAUGUGACUGUUAGAUUUGCAGAAGUCUGCUUUGUUAAAAAUGAUCUGAAGUCUGUCAUUUAUACAGUGAGGAUGCUUCAGAAGCAUUACAAAGUGAUUGCGUGGUAGAGAGAAACCAUUUAGGUACUAACAAAGCAUCGAUGGAAGCAAUGCUGAAUGCAAAGGAAUAAUUAAUUCUAACACAACACAGCAGGACGAAGUUCAGAGCCCUUGUCAAUUAGAAUUUCAGAAACUAUAUGGAGCAUGAUCAGUUAUCAUUUCAUGUGCGGAAACGUUUUGUGGGCUUGUGAAGCUAAACAUCGUUUGCUACGACAGUGUGAUUAAAAUAGUAGAGAUGCGUGGUUAUAGACAAGCAGAUGAGACAUAAAACAACUGCAUUUGCCGGUUUAAAGUUGUCUGACUUGAGAGGAUAUUGGCCUUGAGAUCAUAGCUGACAGUAAGUAACUAGCAAAGUGCUGUUAUGUGUUUUGUAGCUUUGGCAGAAGGAAUAGCAAUUCAGAACCAGAGCUGGUUUUACUUCUAGUUGUCCUUUGUGUCAUCAAAAUGCUAGCUAUUGCAUGACAUUUAAAUCGACCUUUGUGCAAAAUUGCAACUGAAAUCUUGGAGGUCUUGAGUAGAAUGCAUACAAGUGUUUAGCGAUCGAUGAAGAUGCUUGAAGUUCAAAUAUGCAUUGGCACGUCCAAUGGUUCGAAAUUAUUCCGUGCAGUCUGCAACGUAGCAAAGUCGCAUCCCUCCACUUGUGUGUGGCAGAUUGAGGCUGCAAUAUUAGCGUGCGGUUCCAGAUCCCAAAAUUAGAUGGCCAUUUGGCAUUCUAUAGGGUCUUAUAUUCCCAGUUAACCAUGUUUUGUAAAGCUCCAUUCUUCUGUCCUCAUUUUCUGGAUGAUCAAUUUUUCUGCUUCUCUUUGGCUCGCUCGAAGCUGCCAGCAUAUAACAAUCUUGAUCAUUCUCUUCCAGGGUUAAUCCUUAACUAGUAAUUGUAAUUUCGGCAGAACUUUACUGCAAGCUUUGGAUUGUAAUGAUUGUCUGGAAGGUCCAAUUGGCUUGUUUUACAUGACUUUUUUCUUCCAAUUAUUUCAAAGAAAUUGAGAUGACUGAUUUCUUGAAACUCUUCCGCCAAACAUCUCUUGCUUGGCUAUAACUGCAACCACCCCCCCCCCCCCUUUUUCUCGUUCUAAUCGAGCAUUAUCCAUGAUCCAAUCUGCUGCUCUACAUUUUAUAGCUGAGAUACUUGAGGAUCAUCUCCAGUGAGGCAAAAGAUUUGACAUUGUCAACCAACCCUCAAACUAAGACAUAUUGAUCUAAAAAGAAAACUAGCAGCCAAAUAGUCAGGAAAAGGCGCAAAAUCGUAUCUCUGUCUCUUAUUAUUAUUAUUCCCACAUUGAAACCAAAACACGGGUAGUGGGUAGGAGGGGUUGUCCCAUAAAGAAGUUGACAAACAAAAGAUUCCUCUCCAGAAAUUCACUGCGUUGCCUCUUUAGCCAAUUGCAUCAUGUACAUUGAAAGAUUGAAACCUUUCUAGGCUCUUCAAAGUGAUGGCAUCAUCUUUUAGUUCAGUCCACAUUCUAUCAUUUGCUUCAUCAAGACAGAAAAUAUAAAGAAAAAGGAGCUUAAAUUGAUUCUCAAGGGAUUGCAGUCCCUGACAAAUAUCCACAGGAACACCGAGAAAACAUGAGGUAGCAAGAACUUGACUCCAUUAAUCAUAUGAAGUAAACAUUGUUCAAGACAAAAGCAUUUCACCAGGCACAGAAGAAGUGACUUGGGAACAAAAAAGAGAAAAAGAGGGAUGUGUAAAAGGCCGCAAAAGAGCAGCAUACAAAGAACGAAGAAAUUGAGACAAACCAACAUGUUAUCUACGUUAACGAUUGAAAUUUCUUUAAGGUAAUUUCUCAUGAUUAAUACACAAAA